AUUGAACGCUGGCGGCAGGCCUAACACAUGCAAGUAGAACGAGAGGCGGACGGGUGAGUAAUGUAUGGGGACUGCCCGAUAGAGGGGGAUAACUACGGGAAACGGUAGCUAAUACAGCAUAAUAACGGAUAACCCAUAUGGGAUUAGCUAGUAGGUGAGGGAAUGGCUCACCUAGGCGACGAUCCCUCGCUGGUCUGAGAGGAUGAUCAGCCACACUGGACCUGAGACACGGCCCAGACUCCUACGGAGGCAGCAGUGGUGAAUAUUGCACAAUGGGCGCAAGCCUGAUGCAGCCAUGCCGCGUGUAUGAAGAAGGCCCUAGGGUUGUAAAGUACUUUCAGUCGGGAGGCGUUACCGACAGAAGAAGCACCGGCUAACUCCGUGCCAGCAGCCGCGGUAAUUC
rnacentral:rRNA from 1 species